rnacentral:lncRNA from 1 species
GAUGGUACAAUUUAGUAAUAGUAUCACAUUCUUGUGGUUCGGUCCUUCCUUGAAUUUCACGUAUAGCGGGAGCCUACUACAUUAGAUUGCCUUUUUAAAAAGAUUUAGUAUUAGUAUCAGAUCCUUGUGGUUCGGCUCUUCCUAGUACCUCAUGCACAGCGGAAGCCUAUUGCAUUGGAUUGCCUUUAUUAAAAGAUUUGGUGUCAGUUCCUUGUGGUCCGGCCCUUCCUUGAACCGGCUCUUCCUAGUACCUCGUGCAUAGUGGAAGCCUAUUGCAUUGGAUUGCCUGGUGUCAGUUCCUUGUGGUCCGGCCCUUCCUUGAACCUCAUGCAUAGCGGGAACCUGCUGCAUCAGAUUGCCUUUAUUAAAAGAUUUAGUAUUGGUGUCAGAUUCUUGUGGUCUGGUUCUUUCUUGAAUCCCACGCAUAACGAGAGUUUAGUGCAUUGGAUUGUCUUUUUUCAAAAAAUGUAGUACUAGUAUCAGAUCCUUGU